rnacentral:rRNA from 1 species
CACGUAGGGCGCAAGCGUUGUCCGGAAUUAUUGGGCGUAAAGAGCUCGUAGGCGGUCUGUUACGUCUGCUGUGAAAACCCAGGGCUUAACCCUGGGCUUGCAGUGGAUACGGGCAGACUAGAGGCAGGUAGGGGAGAAUGGAAUUCCCGGUGUAGCGGUGAAAUGCGCAGAUAUCGGGAAGAACACCGGUGGCGAAGGCGGUUCUCUGGGCCUGACCUGACGCUGAGGAGCGAAAGCGUGGGGAGCGAACAGG